rnacentral:rRNA from 1 species
GAUAGCUCGUACUCCCCGAAAUGCUUUUAGGAGCAGCGUGGAAGUUAGUUUAUCAGAGGUAGAGCUACCGAUUGGACUAGGGGGUGUCACAACCUACCGAAUCCAGACGAACUCCGAAUGCCGUUAAAUAAGCCCGGGAGUGAGGGUAAGGGUGCUAAGGUCCUUAUCCGAGAGGGAAACAACCCAGACCGACAGCUAAGGUCCCUAAGUUCACGCUAAGUUGUUCAAAGGAGGUCGGACUGCAUAGACA